CACACCGCCCGUCACACCAUGGGAGUGGGCUGCACCAGAAGCAGAUAGUCUAACCUUCGGGGGACGUUUGCCACGGUGUGGUUCAUGACUGGGGUG
rnacentral:rRNA from 1 species